rnacentral:rRNA from 1 species
UUCCUAAUGAAACACAAAUUUUAGGUAUCCCCUGCCCAAUGAUUUAUUAAAUGGCCGCGACAUGUGCUAAGGUAGCAAAAUAAAUUGCCACUUAAUUGGUGGCUAGUAUGAAUGGGGGAACAAAGGGGAAACUGUCUCUAAGAAACACCUAAAAAUUAACCUUCAAGUGAAGAGGCUUGAAUAGCAAUAAAAGACAAAAAGACCCUGGCGCGCUUAAAGCCCCCCUAAUUGACAAAAUUAGCGCCGCUUUUAGUUGGGACGACUUCUGAUAGAGAAAAACACCAGAUUGUUUUUGGGACUAAAAUCCAAUUAAAUGACCCUCCAUGAGAUCAGAUAUUAGCAACCGCAGGGAUAACAGGCUAAUUUUCUAACUAGAGCCCAAAUCGACUUAGAAGGUUGGCACCUCGAUGUUGGCUUAGGGUAACUCUUAGAUGCAGCCAUCUAACUAGUAGGUUUGUUCAACCUCUAACCCCCU